rnacentral:rRNA from 1 species
GAUGAACGCUGGCGGCGUGCCUAAUACAUGCAAGUCGAGCGAAGCGGGGACGGGUGAGUAACACGUGGAAAACCUCCUAUAAGACUGGGAUAACUUCGGGAAACAGGAGCUAAACCGGAUACUUACAGAAGGGUCCUCGCUGCAGUAGCUAGUUGGUAAGCAACCGGCGUACCAAGGCAACGAUGCAUAGCCGACCUGAGAGCGUGAUCGGCCACACUGGAACUGAGACACGGUCCAGACUCCUACGUGAGGCAGCAGUAGGGAAUCUUCCGCAAUGGGCGAAAGCCUGAUGCAGCCAUGCCGCGUGUAUGAAGAAGGCCUUCGGGUUGUAAAGUACUUUCAGCGGGGAGGCGUUACCCGCAGAAGAAGCACCGGCUAACUCCGUGCCAGCAGCCGCGGUAAUUC